UACGGGGGGGGCAAGCGUUGUUCGGAAUUACUGGGCGUAAAGCGCGCGUAGGCGGCUUUUCAAGUCAGACGUGAAAGCCCCAGGCUUAACCUGGGAAUUGCGUUUGAUACUGUUAGGCUAGAGUGUGGAAGGGGCUACUGGAAUUCCCGGUGUAGUGGUGAAAUGCGUAGAUAUCGGGAGGAACACCAGUGGCGAAGGCGACUACCUGGCCUGUUCUUGACGCUGAGGCGCGAAAGCUAGGGGAGCAAACGGG
rnacentral:rRNA from 1 species